UGAUAAGGCAGGAAAUACAUACAUAUUUUUGAAUCACUGAAUAAUAGACCAUUGUGUAAAUAGUAACUUUUUAAAAAACAUUUUACUGUUGGUAAAAUUUUAGAGUAUCUCGCCAUUUUAAAUAUUUUUACUUAGUAAAGAAUGUCUGUGAUACUAAACAUUCUUAGUAAAGAAUGUUUUACUUAGUAAAGAAUGUCUAACAAUGAAAAUUCUUUCCUGAACAUACCUGCUUGAUAUCUACAUUUUAUCCUGAUUCUACAUUCUUCCUUUGGACACCUUCGAGGCUUCCAUUUGAUGGGUGCUUUCCCCAUAUUCUGGUUACUUAAAUAUGUCACAAUAGCAAGAUUGGGAAGCCUGGAUCUUAUGAAAAGAACAGACAAAUAUAGGAGCCACGCCAAUGCAAUCCACCCUAGCUGAACUUCAUAACAGUGAAGUGGAAUUAGACAUAAUGAUCAAUCAAAGAAUUGGAAAAAGUCAUAAUGGUCCAUAAUCCAACCUUCCUCCAGUUACUGCUUCUCUCUAAAAUAUGUUCCUAAUAGUGUCAUUCACGAUUGUUUAAAUCAACCACCUUGGAGGUCAUGAACAUAUCAUAUCAUUAAAAGGGAGAUGCUAAACCUCUGUGCUAU
rnacentral:lncRNA from 1 species